rnacentral:rRNA from 1 species
UACGGGGGGGCAAGCGUUGUUCGGAAUUACUGGGCGUAAAGGGCUCGUAGGUGGCCAACUAAGUCAGACGUGAAAUCCCUCGGCUUAACCGGGGAACUGCGUCUGAUACUGGAUGGCUUGAGUUUGGGAGAGGGACGCGGAAUUCCAGGUGUAGCGGUGAAAUGCGUAGAUAUCUGGAGGAACACCGGUGGCGAAGGCGGCGUCCUGGACCAACACUGACACUGAGGAGCGAAAGCGUGGGUAGCAAACAGG